rnacentral:misc_RNA from 1 species
GAAAUGCGAUAAGUAGUGUGAAUUGCAGAAUUCAGUGAAUCAUCGAAUCUUUGAACGCACAUUGCGCCCUUUGGUAUUCCUUAGGGCAUGCCUGUUCGAGCAUCAUUUAAACCCUUCAAGCUCAGCUUGGUGUUGGGUGACUGUCCGCCGCCCCCGGGCGUGGACUCGCCCCAAAUCCAUUGGCGGCCGGUACGUAGGCUUCGAGCGCAGCAGAAACGCGAACUCGAGCCCGCGGUGUCGGCUCCCAGAAGCCAUCUCUUUUAUUUUGACCUCGGAUCAGGUAGGGAUACCCGCUGAACUUAAGC